rnacentral:rRNA from 1 species
GACGAACGCUGGCGGCGUGCUUAACACAUGCAAGUCGAACGGAAAGGCCCUGCUUUUGUGGGGUGCUCGAGUGGCGAACGGGUGAGUAACACGUGAGUAACCUGCCCUUGACUUUGGGAUAACUUCAGGAAACUGGGGCUAAUACCGGAUAGGAGCUCCUGCUGCAUGGUGGGGGUUGGAAAGUUUCGGCGGUUGGGGAUGUACUCGCGGGUUAUCAGCUUGUUGGUGGGGUAGUGGCUUACCAAGGCUUUGACGGGUAGCCGGCCUGAGAGGGUGACCGGCAACAUUGGGACUGAGAUACGGCCCAGACUCCUACGGGAGGCAGAAGUGGGGAAUAUUGCACAAUGGGCGGAAGCCUGAUGCAGCAACGCCGCGUGCGGGAUGACGGCCUUCGGGUUGUAAACCGCUUUCGCCUGUGACGAAGCGUGAGUGACGGUAAUGGGUAAAGAAGCACCGGCUAACUACGUG